AUGACCCCAUCUAUAGGCCUGGGGCCCCUCCGUCCUCUCCCGCGUCACUUUCCCAGGAAGAUGUCCGACCUCGACCAUGAGCCUGGGGCCCAGCAUCUCAGGCUUGCCCACCUCUGUGUGUAUCCAGAAACCGUGUUGCACAGUAUGGUGUUGAACCUGACGUGGAUGGCACUCAGCAGUGAGCAGCUCUCCGAACUGCAGGAUUUCGCAACGGCAGCUUGGGAAACAGACCCAGCGCUCCGUUCAGAAGCAACGUGUAUCAGCCAACUGAGAUGGCCGUUGUGCUCAACGGGGGGACUAUCCCAACCGCUCCGCCAAGUUACACUGGAAGACACCUCUGGUGAAAGACUUUAA
rnacentral:lncRNA from 1 species